CCAGUCGCCUCCCUUCAAUUUCUUACCUCACCCCAACCCACAUCUAUACUACCUAUGCGACGACGGCGACGACUCCGACUCCGACUCCGACUCCCUUAAUUUCUAAUUAAAUUCCUCCGCGCGCCUCAUUCUUGCGAGGGCCACCUCUGCUGGUGCAACUCUUCCUCCUUUUCCUCUGCAGAUUCAAAUCGUCUCGUCUGCCCUAAUUUUAAUUUGUUCCUCUCAAGUCGCCGCCACCGAAACGUCGCAACGUGUUGUGGCCGCGGCUCCUCCUCGGCCUUUUCCUCCUCUCUCGCAUCCCCUCCGCCUCCCUGGCAUUGCCUCUGCUCGCUUCGCUUGCCUCCUCUUCUUCUUCCAGCUGCUAUUGUCGAGAUUGAUGGCCGUGUUGUAUUAGCCGCAAUGUACGUCUCAAGUUGCCGGGCUUCAUCAAAGGAUCCCUGUCGAGCUCCUUGCGUACGUAGUUGGUUGUUGUGCAAUUGGUGCUGGUGAAUACUUGAUCAAAGGAUUUGCAGCAUCUCUUCCUAUUGCUCCCCCGGUGUUGCCCUUCCUGCUGCCGCCUAGUGCUGCCCUGCUCUCUCCGGUGCUGCACGGCUCCUACUGUCGCCUAGUGCUGCUCGGCUCUUCCUAUUGUCGCCCGGUGCUGCUCGGCUCUUCCUGCUGAUGCCUGCUCGGCUAUUCCUGUUGUCGCUCGGUGCCGCUUGGUUCUUUCUGCUGACGUCCGGCGCUACUCGGCUCUUUCUGCCGACGCCUGGUGCGGCUCAGCUCUUCUUGUUGUCGCUUGGUGCCACUCGGUUCUUUCUGCUGACGCUUGGUACCUCUGGGCUCGUUCGGCCGAUGCUUGGUGUCGCUCGGCUCUUCCUGUUGUUGUCUGAUGUUGCUUGGCUCUUCUUGCUGUCACCGCUUGACUCUUUUUGCUGACGACUCUUCUAGCUGUCACCUGGUGUUGCUGGUUAUUCCUGUUGUCGCCUAGUGCUACUCGGUCUUUCUUGUAUUUUCUAAGAUCUCUCUUUGCUUCUCUAUUUACAUUUAUAUUAUAGAAUAACUACGAAGAUAUUCGCGGUGAAGCAUGAGCUCUUUACUUGUAUGAGAAAUGUGUAAUAUGGUUAUGAAAAACGCUGAAUGAGAAAGCGAUCGUGUAUGAAAAAUAUAAGAAUUAAUAAUAUUAAUAGUUAGUCUUAA